CCUCCUCUAAACUCUCUCGUCUUCUCAGAUUCUCUCUAACACUCGAAACCCUAUCCUCCUAUAUCGCCGUCUCUGAUCGGUUCUUACCGGUGUCCAUGGCUUCCCAGACCGUGGAUGGCCUAUACCCUCUUCCCUUCACCCCAGACCAUGAUUAUUCAAAGAUUUUAAGGUCCGUUCUUCAACAGACCUGUUCAGGUCCUCCACUGAUCUGAGUUUUUUUGGCUUCUACGACUCCGUUCCGGCGUGUUCAAGCUCUGAAAGGCCUAUCUUUCCUUGUUUUCUUAGAUCUGUAACAGAUCUAUUUUCUACUCGAUGUUUUAAUGAUUUUCCCUAAUUGUCCCUUUUAAAAUUAGUCUGCUCAAAAUUAGGUUUUUUAAAAAAAAUCUUAAAACGAUUCUUCUUCUUUUUCUUUCUUUGUGUGAAUCUGUAUGUCCAUGUCAUACUUAUGUAUUUUUGUCUGUUGAUAGGCAUGUUUUUACUCCUUUAUUGCUUCUACUGAUAUUUUCUACAAGUAUGACUCACACGUUUAUCUUGCAUGACUUUCUACCAUUUCUCCUACUAAGAUUGUUUGCCUCUAAUAGAUCCUUUUGGGUCCGAAAUUUGUUUCUUUUACUAUUUCCUACACUCUAUAACUGAAUUGGUUUGAGUGCUUUUAGCUUUCUUCUGAAAACACUUUUUCUUUACAAGCUUUCACGCUACUACUUCUAAUUUGCUACGAAUGUUUGUGUGUUUCCUCAGGGAACUCUGAAAGAGCUCUCUAAGCUUGUUAUGAGGGCGCUCCUUCUCUUUUCUACUCGGAUUGAAACUCUGUGUUGGGAUGUUUGCGAGUUUUGGUUCUAGGGUUCUACUCUAGAAACCCUAGGCUCUCAACUUGCACUAAGUUUAUAGACUGAACUGAAACAUCCUUUUGCCUAUGAUUCAGAAACUGUUUGUGGCGAUCUUUUCUUUCUUGUUUGACACUGGUAUGCUUUAUAUGCAAGGCUUUUCCUCUAAAUUGACUUUGUUGGCAUAAGAUUGAUUUCAAUCUCCUAUUACUAAGGCUCGAUUGUUUGCUAUUGAUUUUUACAACUUAUCCUCUUUUCCUGUUUUCAUGAUUAAGUUCAUUCAAGACUUUUAAAUUUCUGACUGUUUGAUUACUGUAUUGUCCUUAUUUUCUCAAAACUGUGUACUGUGGGUUCCUUACCUUAAAUAGGCCAUAUGAACUUACCCCUAUUAUGCUACUCUGAAAAGGUUUUCAUUAUUUUCCUUUCCUUAAUUACUCAUUCCUGUUUGAAAUCAAAUCACUUUGACAAAGGGAGAUCCUAUUUGAUUGACUGUAAUUUUAUUUCCUUGCCUUUUGUUUACUCGUUUUUCCACUAUAAAAAGGGACAACCUUUUCAACUCUAAACAAGCUCUCGAACACAGUUCUUUUCUGCACCUUUGCAAUACACAAUCAUCUCUGUCUUUGAAAUAUACUGGUUACUACACUCUGUACUACUACUAUCUCUACUACCAUUUUCUCUACUGAGCACUCUGCUCCUUUCUCUCCUUCUGUCUUAAUAUUUCUGCAGUUCCUUUGAAUUCCCAAGUACUUGCUGAAGUUUUUGAGUUAUUCCUGCUAACUGUCUGCCUGUUUACUUGGUGAAGUUUCUCUGCUGUACUAGAACUGAAAACUGGUAUGUACUUCUAAGUUCAAUUACACUCUCAUACUAUGUGUAUUCACUUCUCUUCUUCUGCACAUUCUUCACCGUGUGUUUAUAGUCUGUAGCAUGUUCUUCUAUGUCCUUGCAUCUUCAGUCUACUAUGCUUUCUUAUAUUUUCCUUAAAUUUAGUGUAUGCUUCUGUAUGGAAAUCCCUUUACUCUAUUCCCUUUUGUGUGCUAGUAUUGUUCUGAAUCCUGGCAGCAUCUGAUAUUGCUGUACAUGAUCCAUAAUCAGACUCUCCUGAGUCUCUACUCAAAUGCUUUCCCAUUCCCUCUCCCUUUUAUGUGUUUAGCUUUAACUUGGGUCUCAUAUUGUCCUUAUCACCACUCAGACCCUAAGUUUGACUCCCCAGAGUCUGCUACUAUUUGUUUGACCUAAGCAAAGGGCUAGGGGUGUGCCAACCUAUGCUAUGGCUGGGUAUGACCACCCUCUGUUAUGGUUCCCCUCUCACUUUGCACUCAUUCCUAGUUCCUAAGUUCUGCCCCCCUUUGGUAAGCAAUGCUUAGGGACCAUGGAGUUCCCUCUGAACUUGGAUGCCUGAGGGCUGGUAAUUCCACACUUGCACUAUUCUGUUANNNNNNNNNNNNNNNNNNNNNNNNNNNNNNNNNNNNNNNNNNNNNNNNNNNNNNNNNNNNNNNUAUUGUUGUAGCUGCAUUCCUCAACAUCAUAUUUAGAGUGUAAGCAUUACCUGAGUUCUUAAAGCUCCUUGGAACUUUUAAACACUCUGAAUAAGAGAAGGCCUUGGAUUAUGGAAUCCGGAUUGGUAGAGCACAUGUUAUUGGAUAUUAAGAUUGAAUUAAGUUGCUCGGAUCUAGCUGUAGGCUGUGAUGUAUUUUUGUUUGCCUUCUUUCUUCUGGUUCUAUAAUAAUCUUAUAAAAAAAGAACCCGGGGAAAUAUUAGUAAAAGGGUAUGGGAGGGGUUUAUAUUUACUUGCAUAUGCUAAAGGGUAGAUACCAUGCCUAUAGGAUCAAUAUUGUUGUUUAAUCACUUAGAUAUCAUGCCUAUAGAUUCAACGUUUAAAUUACCUAGAGAUCAUGUCUAUAGGCUUUUGCAUUCCUUUCAUUCAAUCAUAUAGAGAUCAUGUCUAUAGGAUUUAAUGUUCAACCAUGUUGCAAAUCAUUAGAAAUCCUGCCUGUAGGACCUAAUAAUAAACUAAUUGCAUAUAGAUAUCAUGCCUAUAGGGAAGGCGCGAAACGUUAGGAAAACCGUAGGGUAAUCAAAAUACUCUUUCUCUAAAUGUUUAAUAACACUAACGAGUCUUAAGAGAAAAUUAAGGUAUAGAUAUACUGCCUAUAGGGUUUCAGAUUCGCCCGAAUUUGUGUAAAUAAUAAAUCGGCCAUUGGCUUUAGUGUUUGAAACAAAGCGUCCAAACUUUUCUGUACAUUUUCUAAAUUUGUAACUUUCUUUUUCUAAAAUGUUUUUUCAAUUCUCUGCCUAAAUUUUAUUUGCCUCAUGGAGAUCUCUUUCAAAACAGGUUUCAAACUCAUUCCCUUUUUAAAACAUUCUUACUUCUGAAACUCUACUUUACAAUUCCGCUGUAUUUCUACUGAAGCAAUUCUACUGAUUUUUUCAAAGACCCCUCUGAACUUCUGUGAUUUUCCAACCUUCUGUUUCAAACUCUUUUGCAUUAGGUUCUUAAUCAGUAACAUAUAUAAAAUACCUCAACUUCUGACAAUUGGAUCCGGGUUACCUAAUUCAGACUUUUUAUCCAACUCUAUGUGUUAAACUAAUUUGUCUGCUGAUUAAUUGUUAAAGACCAAAUCAAUAUCUGCAAGACAUGGUGCACUAAUUGCCGUGUGAUUCAUUAGGUUUAUAUGAGCAUUUUGUAUGUUUGUUUCGUCCCUCAAUAUUUGCUACUUGUUUUGCUUCUCGCCUUAGUCUUUUAUCCCUUCGAAACACCAUAGAUGUCUAUGCUUCCUUUACCCCUCCUUAGGAUUAGGAGUCCAAAAACCUGGGACUGACAGGUUGGGACGGGUAUUAGCAUGCAAUAAAUAAACGAAACUAAUCACAUUUAAUACCUUAACGGGGUUGGAAGGGUAGAAUAUGGAUAUGAUGGCUGGUGCACUAAUAUCUCAUGUGUGAAUGAUUGCUGGGUAUUGCACCAAAGUGAUCCAUAUUAUAUUUAAAUCUAGAACCUCUUUUCUUUAGUUAUAUGAUGUGAUGUUUUCUUAAAAUUUUUAAUGUUUUCUUCAACUAAUCUGUCCAAAACCACUUAUGCCUUCUUUCUCUCUUUUCUUUCAAUACUUUCAACUUAUUUGUAUUCCCUAUGUGCCAACAUUGUUUGUCUACAUCUACUCUUCUUAAACUCACGACUAAUUAUGGCCGGGAACCACACUAGUUUAUUUUGAGGGGUGCCUAACACCUUCCCCUCGAGAUAAUAUGAAGCCCUUACCCGAGCUCUGAUCUUCUUUCAAAAAUCUUCUACAUUCCUUUCAAGUGUCCUAAUGCACUUAUUCAUUAGGUGUCGACUCUUCAAAAUCCAUAACCCGAUUCCUCAAAAGGGAAUAAGAAUUUUUUUGUCCAUAAUGUCAUAAACCCGAUUCCGCCUUUAGAAAAAAGGGGCGUCGAUAGCAUGGCAACUCUGCUGGGGAUUUCUUUAAGGCUUUUACUAUUACGUGCUUUUAUGACUUUAUCACUUCCUUAAUUGCCUUUAUAUUCUGCCUUUAAUUAUUUCAUCAUAAUUACUAACUUGGCUCUUCAUGUUUUUCUUUCCUUUUCCUUCUUUUACUGCCUUAUUGUUAUUUCAAUUCCGAGCAUUUAUUGUAAUCUUUAUUGUAUGAACGUGAAAAUACAUGCAAUUUGUUUCAUUGUUGUAGCUGCACAUAUUCCUCUCGUACCAAAACAAAUCCUAUUGCAACGCUUAUAAUGAGUGGUUGCGCCCUUAUGAUAUUAUAACCCUCAACAUCAUAUUCCACUCAUGCCAAAACAAAUCCUAUAGCAACGCUUAUAAUGAGUGGUUGCGCCCUUCCUAUAUUAUAAGCCCUAAAUGUGGAAAAGAGAUAUUUGCGAUAAAACCAGUCGAUCAAUGGUGUAGUCGGCGGUUCCGUGCCUUUCCCUCUUGAGUUGUCCGCUCAAGGGUACUAUUCUAAUACCCCAUAGAAACCCUACUCCGUUUAAUCGUGCACACAUCAUUGUCAAAACCUAGCCGAGUUAGUUGUGUUGUUUGCGUAAUGACUUUUUAAGAUAGCCUUGUCCAAAGUCCACUAGGUUUCCUUGAAACCCAAACGAAUACUAGUAUUCCAUUAAACUGUUCAUGCAUCAUGGUCAAACUUAGUGAAGUCAGUUAUGUUGUCCGCAUAAUGACUUGUUAGGGCAGCCUAAACCAAAUUCCACCUGGUUUUCCCGAUACCCAAACAAACACCUCCACGUUAUGUGCCUUUAUUUGGAGAACUAAAUGCCUUAUGCUAAUUGUUGAUUUAAAUAGUCGAGUUUGGUGGGGUUAAUGGCCUAAAGCUUUGUUUUGCAGAAAAUGAGGCAGGAAGUCCCCAGAUUCGGUAUGGUAACCAACAUUCACCCAAGGAUUCCAUGCUAGUGGGAAGAUCUUCAUGCAAGCGACCGAAGUCUUAUAAAAGGAUCGACGACUGCCAGAAUACCGAGAGAACUGCAGGUGGACAUCUGGCUCGAGCCUAUCUGCUUUUAUAACUACGUGAGUUGAUGCAGCUCUACGAGGGAGGCAAGAGUACUGAAUCUGGGGAAGGUUCCUCUGGGACCAAGUAGAUCUGAUCUUUUACUGCUUUCAUAAAUGUAUUAUGGCCACUGGCAAUUAGUGACAUCUUUAUUCAGUUGUUUUCCUUUUAAGACUCGUCUUGUUUUUAUCAAUAAAAUGAGGCAUUUAGCAUUA
rnacentral:lncRNA from 1 species